UACGAAGGGGGCUAGCGUUGUUCGGAAUUACUGGGCGUAAAGCGCACGUAGGUGGCUUUGUAAGUUAGAGGUGAAAGCCCGGGGCUCAACUCCGGAAUUGCCUUUAAGACUGCAUCGCUAGAACGUCGGAGAGGUAAGUGGAAUUCCGAGUGUAGAGGUGAAAUUCGUAGAUAUUCGGAAGAACACCAGUGGCGAAGGCGACUUACUGGACGACUGUUGACACUGAGGUGCGAAAGCGUGGGGAGCAAACAGG
rnacentral:rRNA from 1 species